GAUGAACGCUGGCGGCGUGCCUAAUACAUGCAAGUCGAGCGAACGGACGAGAAGCUUGCUCCUCUGAUGUUAGCGGCGGACGGGUGAGUAACACGUGGAUAACCUACCUAUAAGACUGGGAUAACUUCGGGAAACCGGAGCUAAUACCGGAUAAUAUUUUGAACCGCAUGGUUCAAUAGUGAAAGACGGUUUUGCUGUCACUUAUAGAUGGAUCCGCGCUGCAUUAGCUAGUUGGUAAGGUAACGGCUUACCAAGGCAACGAUGCGUAGCCGACCUGAGAGGGUGAUCGGCCACACUGGAACUGAGACACGGUCCAGACUCCUACGGGAGGCAGCAGUAGGGAAUCUUCCGCAAUGGGCGAAAGCCUGACGGAGCAACGCCGCGUGAGUGAUGAAGGUCUUCGGAUCGUAAAACUCUGUUAUUAGGGAAGAACAUAUGUGUAAGUAACUAUGCACGUCUUGACGGUACCUAAUCAGAAAGCCACGGCUAACUACGUG
rnacentral:rRNA from 1 species